rnacentral:rRNA from 1 species
GGGGAAUCUUGCGCAAUGGGCGAAAGCCCUGACGCAGCGACGCCGCGUGGGUGAUGAAGGCCUUCGGGUCGUAAAGCCCUGUCAAGAGGGACGAAACCUCGUCGACCGAAUACGUCGGCGACCUGACGGUACCUCUGAAGGAAGCACCGGCUAACUCCGUGCCAGCGGCCGCGGUAAUACGGAGGGUGCGAGCGUUGUUCGGAAUUACUGGGCGUAAAGCGCGUGUAGGCGGCCUCCUCAGUCUGGUGUGAAAGCCCGGGGCUCACCCCCGGAAGUGCAUUGGAUACUGGGAGGCUGGAGUACCGGAGAGGAGGGUGGAAUUCCUGGUGUAGCGGUGAAAUGCGUAGAUAUCAGGAGGAACACCGGUGGCGAAGGCGGCCCUCUGGACGGAUACUGACGCUGAGACGCGAAAGCGUGGGGAGCAAACAGGAUUAGAUACCCUGGUAGUCCACGCCGUAAACGAUGGGCACUAGGUGUUCGGGGUAUUGACCCCCUGAGUGCCGCAGCUAACGCAUUAAGUGCCCCGCCUGGGGAAUACGGCCGCAAGGUUAAAACUCAAAGGAAUUG